rnacentral:rRNA from 1 species
AGAACGAACGCUGGCGGCAGGCCUCAAACAUGCAAGUCUAGGGGGUGUAGCAAUACAUCACCGGCGGACGGGUGCGUAACGCGUGGGAAUAUACCUAUUGGUUCGGAACAACUGAGGGAAACUUCAGCUAAAUACCGAAUAAGUCCUUACGGAGAAAGAUUUAUCGCCAAUAGAUUAGCCCGCGUUCGAUUAGCUAGUUGGUGGGGUAACGGCCCACCAAGGCGACGAUCGAUAGCUGUUCUGAGAGGAAGAUCAGCCACACUGGGACUGAGACACGGCCCAGACUCCUACGGGAGGCAGCAGUUGGGAAUCUUGGACAAUGGGGAAACCCUGAUCCAGCCAUGCCGCGUGAGUGAUGAAGGCCUUCGGGUUGUAAAACUCUUUCGCGCACGACGAUAAUGACGGUAGUGCGAGAAGAAGCUCCGGCUAACUUCGCGCCAGCAGCCGC